rnacentral:rRNA from 1 species
AUUGAACGCUGGCGGCAGGCCUAACACAUGCAAGUCGAACGAGUGGCGGCCGGGUGAGUAGUGUCUGGGAAACUGCCUGCUGGAGGGGGAUAACUACUGGAAACGGUAGCUCAUACCGCAUACCCUCAGAUGUUCCCAGAUGGGAUUAGCUUGUGCGUGGGGUAACGGUUCACCAAGGCGACGAUCCCUGUCUGGUCUGAGAGGAUGACCACCCAGGCUGGAGCGGAGACACGGUUCAGACGCCUACGGGAGGCAGCAGUGAGUAAUACUGCACAAAGGGGGCAAGCCUGCUACAGACAGGCCGCGUGUAUGAAGAAGGCAUUCGGGGUGUAAAGUACUGUCAGCGGGGAGGCGUUACCCGCAGAAGAAGCACCGGCUAACUCCGUGCCAGCCGCCGCGGUAAUAC